rnacentral:rRNA from 1 species
GGAGUCUGGGCCGUGUCUCAGUCCCAAUGUGGCCGGUCAACCUCUCAGUUCGGCUACUGAUCGUCGCCUUGGUGGGCCGUUACCCCGCCAACAAGCUAAUCAGACGCGGGUCCAUCUUACACCGAUAAAUCUUUUCCGUCUGAGUCAUGCGACUCUAGCGGGUUAUGCGGUAUUAGCAGCCGUUUCCAGCUGUUGUCCCCCUGUGUAAGGCAGGUUACCCACGCGUUACUCACCCGUCCGCCACUAAGUUAUAUCUUCUGUCUCCGAAGAUCCGUCCGAUAUAACUCCGUUCGACUUGCAUGUGUUAGGCACGCCGCCAGCGUUCAUC